AUAGCUCAGCUGGUUAGAGCGCCUGCUUCACACGCAGGAGGUCUGCGGUUCGAGUCCGCAUGUGUCCACCA
rnacentral:tRNA from 1 species